AGAGCGAACGCUGGCGGCAGGCCUAAUACAUGCAAGUCGAACGGACCCUUCGGGGUUAGUGGCGGACGGGUGAGUAACACGUGGGAACGUGCCCUUUGGUUCGGAACAACUCAGGGAAACUUGAGCUAAUACCGAAUGUGCCCUUCGGGGGAAAGAUUUAUCGCCAUUGGAGCGGCCCGCGUCUGAUUAGCUAGUUGGUGAGGUAAAGGCUCACCAAGGCGACGAUCAGUAGCUGGUCUGAGAGGAUGAUCAGCCACACUGGGACUGAGACACGGCCCAGACUCCUACGGGAGGCAGCAGUAGGGAAUCUUGCGCAAUGGGCGAAAGCCUGACGCAGCCAUGCCGCGUGAAUGAUGAAGGUCUUAGGAUUGUAAAAUUCUUUCAGCGGGGACGAUAAUGACGGUACCGCAGAAGAAGCCCCGGCUAACUUCGUGCCAGCAGCCGC
rnacentral:rRNA from 1 species